rnacentral:rRNA from 1 species
CCUACGGGGGGCAGCAGUGAGGAAUAUUGGUCAAUGGGCGCGAGCCUGAACCAGCCAAGCCGCGUGAGGGAUGAAGGUUCUAUGGAUCGUAAACCUCUUUUAUCAGGGAACAAAGUGUGGGACGUGUCCUAUGUUGUGUGUACCUUAUGAAUAAGGAUCGGCUAACUCCGUGCCAGCAGCCGCGGUAAUACGGAGGAUCCGAGCGUUAUCCGGAUUUAUUGGGUUUAAAGGGUGCGUAGGCGGUGCUUUAAGUCAACGGGGAAAAUCCUGCGGUCAACCAAGAGAAGUGCCGUUGAAACGGGGGGGCUUGAGUAGGUUUGAGGCAGGCGGAAUGCGUGGUGUAGCGGUGAAAUGCUUAGAUAUCACGCAGAACCCCGAUUGCGAAGGCAGCCUGCCAAGCCAUGACUGACGCUGAUGCACGAAAGCGUGGGGAUCAAACAGGAUUAGAUACCCGGGUAGUC